GUGUUUAUGUCUUUAUGAUAGCAUGUUAACAACUGAGGACGUCAUCAUAUUUACUUUCCAUUGCAAUAACCUAAAGAAAAAAUAAAUAUUUAGCCUACCUAACGGGCUCAACUGUUGUCUCAUCGAAGCCAACAGGUUAGUGCUAGCAACAACCUCAGAUGCAUAAUACUUGCUGCAGAAGAAUCCUUGGAGCAGGAGAGCAUGCCAAGAAAGAAAAGAGAG
rnacentral:lncRNA from 1 species